GGGAGCUUAGAUGUGGAAGCUCUUUGGAAACCAAGAAACACUCUGAAAAUGAAAAGGGAAGCAGAAGUUCUCCUUAGCUGAUUUUUCUUCUUGCCUUAUACUGGGUUCUUUAACACCAGAACAAAAAUAAAUAAAUAAAAGAAUCUUCCAGAAAUUCAUGAAGAGACUUCAGGUCAGGAAAGCCUGAACUUUCUCAUCCAACACCCGUUCAAGUCGGAGGAUGCUGAUUAAUUCAUGAUGGAAAGGAGACCUCUGUGGAUUCUAUAACUCAAAGACCCAGGCUGACGGCUGGUGGAAUAGCUACCAUCUCAAACAUGGCGUGAUGCUGCAUCAGAGAGAAAAAUAAGCUCUUGCAUUGACAAUGAAAUGUCUACCCUGUAGUGACUUGUGCUUACUUCCACUCACAAGUGAUUGCCCAGAGCUACUUACCUGGCUCCAAUCUACCACUGGGUGUGUACUUGCAAUCUACCAUGUACCUAGAAGAUGAGAGAAACAAAUUAUUAAUGAUGACCACACCCCAAUACUAACAACAAUUGCAGAAGAAUCAAUGACUUAAACAAAAAUGUGGCCAUUGAAGGAAUAGAAAAUAUAGUGAGUUUAGUGUAAAUUUAAAAGUGAUUUAUAAGUAACAUACAAAAUCCAGAAACUAUAAGAAAACAGAUUCACAAAUAUAAAUAUAUAAAGCUUUAAAAAAGUUUAAUGUAACAAAAAUGGCAUAAAAGGAGUCAAAAGUUUUUAAAAAAUAUGUUAAUGCAGUAGAUUAGGUGCUAAUUUUCUUAAUAUACUAAUAACUCAAUAAGAGAAAUUUUGUAUCUAGAAGAAAAUGAACAUGGAAAUAGGCAAUUCACAGAUAAUGGCAUUCAUCUGGCGAAUAAAAAAAUGUGUGACAUUCAGAAUAAAAUAAAAAUGAAAUACUGGUUUUCAGCCAUCACUUGAGCAAAACUGCAAAGAUACAAUGAGACUCAGGCAUUCCCAUAUACUGUGGAUGGGAG
rnacentral:lncRNA from 10 species